rnacentral:rRNA from 1 species
AUGGCGCCGACCCGGAAGAAGCGCGCCUCCUCCGCGGCCGCGGCCGCCGCCGCCGCGGCCCAGUGGAAGGUCGGCGACCUCGUGCUCGCCAAGCUCAAGGGCUACCCGGCGUGGCCAGCCAUGAUUAGCGAGCCGCAGAAAUGGGGGCUUCCUUCAACUAAAAAGAAGUUGCUGGUCUACUUUUAUGGAACUAAAGAGAUUGCUUUCUGCAAUUAUGCUGAUCUUGAGGCGUUCACUGAAGAGAAAAAGAAAUCUCUACUUGUUAAACGACAUGGGAAAGGAGCAGAUUUUGUCAAAGCAGUUAAGGAAAUAGUGGAAAUUUUUGAUUCUAUGAAGAACGAGGACAAUAAUAAGAGCGGGUUGGCCCCUGCCAACAAUAGCAGCAGUUUGGACACUGGAGGUCCCGAAGAAGGUUCUGAUUUGGCCAAUGAUAGCAAGCUCGAGGGUAAUCCUGCCUCUUCCAUGGAUCACAGCAUGGCCAGUGCCCCUGGGUCUAAUAUUGCUGCAUUGGAGAGUGAACACUGUGUUGUGAACUCUGCACCUGAUGAGCCUGCUACUUCAUUUUCAAAGAAGAGGAGAAGUAAUGCUCUGCAACUAGGUUCUUGCACUCACCGUAAUCUUACUUCCCCACGGAGGCCAAGAAGUUCAUUAGGUGCUGAUCAUAGGACUCGGGAUUCUUGUGGGCCGAAUGGUCUCAAUCUGCCUCCUGUUGAUAUGACCACUGAUGAUAGGCAGGAAGGCUCUUCUCGGCUUAAAUGUAUAGGUGAUGACAAACCUAAAUCGGAUUUCCUUUCAGCUACGAAGGAUGUUAUGCUGUUCAAUUGCGGUCGAGGCACCUCAAGUCAAUCUGGAGCUUCUCUGAAUGGUAAUUAUGAGAACAAUUUGAGUUCUGCUGCAAAUAUAGAAAGUGAUCUUAAUGUUGAAGUAUGUCAAACUGUCAUGGGUAAAGAAGAUAAUCUGGAUGGGACACAAGAUCUUUCCACGAGUACAGCAGUUACUUCUAAAAGAAAGCGAAGCCCGGACACCAAUGAUGUUAAUAAUUCUAUCAGCAGUGUGGUACCAAAUAUGGAUGAAGAAUUGCAGCCUAAUUCAGGUGGAAACCUGCCAGAUUCUCCAAAUUCAGGGAAUGAAGUCAAUAAGUCAGACGGAGAUGACCACUUGCCAUUAGUGAAAAGGGCACGGGUUCGAAUGGGAAGACCCCAGCUGGAGGACUCCAUGGUUGAUGAGCUUGAUAUUUCUGAUAACAAAAUAGAGUUGGCUAUACCUGUAGAUGAAUGUUAUAAACAUGACCUGUCUUCAACAGUGGGAAAGGAUCAUCCAGCUGAUGAUGUCCCCUAUCGCAUAGAUCCUUCACCCACAGUAGACCCAUCGCUGGCAUCGGGAGAGGUUCAGACUGCUUGCAAGGACAAAGAGUAUCAAUCAAAGGUUUUGACGUUAGAUGGAGAAGCUGCUUUACCUCCAUCUAAACGUCUCCAUCGUGCCUUAGAGGCUAUGUCUGCUAAUGCUGCUGAAACUACUGGUAAUCUGCCUGAAGUGAAUAAGCCAGAGUGUAUCCUGAAGCCUUGCACAGCGUCGAUAGGAAGCUCUCCUUUUAAUAACUCUGCAGAUGCACUUGUCAGAAGUCCAAGAUCUGCAACAACUAAAGGCCCGGAAAUAUGUUCACCAGUACUUUCUUUAGAUACCCCAACUGGCCUAAAGUGUUUGUCACAACCAUUCAUAUUAAACAAGGACUCCCCGUCUUCUGUUUCACUGGAAUUGACAAACGGUGGCAAUCAUGAUCUUCCAAAAGACAAAGUUAGCACCAGGGACGAUGAUGAUAUCUGUGGAAAUUCUCCAGCCUGCUCCUUGGAGUCGAAAGAGGCUGCCUUUGUAUCUAAGUUUGAUCAGUUGCCUAUGGGGAAAGUAAGUACAAAUGAGCUCCCGGAUCCAAUUGGUAAUUCUAGUCGAGAUUUUAGUAAAAAUAUUGAUGGAUCUGCUUAUCCACUUAGCCAUGCAAAGACUGUUGUGCCAGGUGCUAAUCACGAUUCCAAUUCCGAGCCACAAAAUAAGACAGUUUUGGCUGAACCAACAGUCAGUGUGGGUGACAGGACAAGUGCCUCUUCGUUGGUUACUAAAGUUACAUGCAGCCAGAAUGUUGCAGGCGCCCGAGCAUUUGAAGCGCAUGGUUCUUCAGCAACGGCACUGAGAGAACCGGACCACAAAAUUAACAUGAAGGAUAUUGGUUUAUCUCCUGACCCGAUGCCUAUGAAAGGACUUAUUGCUGCUGCACAUGCUCAGAAAUUCUCUCAACCAACUUCUUUCAUAGACAGUUUUUUAGAUUCCAAUGUUAUUUCUGAACCUUCUGUGAAUAUACCUUCAGUUAAGGAAGGAUCAGGUGGCCGGUGUUCACCUUCAAAUACUAUAAUAAGGUCUGCAUCAGAUAGGAUUCAUACUCAGCAGACUAGUGGUAAGAUUCUUUCUGAUAACAUACAACAGAAGAGCUUGAACAAACCAGCAGGUCAUGAUGAAGCCAGGUCAGCACGGAGGGCCUUUGAAAAUUUCCUAGGUACAUUAACAAGAACAAAAGAAUGUAUAGCCCGUGCAACACGUCUGGCUCUGGAUUGUGCUAAGCAUGGCAUUGCUGGGGAGGUAAUGGAUGUCAUCAUCGAACGCCUGGAAAAAGAAUCAAAUUUAUACAAAAGGGUGGACCUGUUCUUCCUUGUUGAUUCAAUAAUCCAGUGCUGUCGCAAUCAGAAAGGUGGAGUUGGAGAUGCCUAUCCUUCUCUUAUCCAAGCAGUCCUGCCACGAAUACUAUAUGCUUCUGCACCUCCUGGAAAUUCUGCAUGGGAGAAUCGAAGACAAUGUCUUAAGGUUUUGAAACUCUGGCUUGAGAGGAAAACGCUUUCAGAAUACAUCAUUCGUCAUCAUAUUAAGGAGCUUGAAGCUCUUAAUGAAGCAUCAUUUGGGACCUCUCGUCGUCAUUCAGGGACAGAGAGAGCUCUGAAUGACCCUUUACGGGAUAAUGAAGGAAUGCUUGUAGAUGAAUAUGGAAGCAAUACUGGUUUCCAUCUUCCAAAUUUGAUCUGCGUGAAACUGCUGGACGAGGAAGGAAGCUCCUCUGAGGAUAGGAGCUUUGAAGCUGUCACUCCUGAACAUGAAUCUACUGGUGCUGAGCAAGGGGAGGGUUCUCAAUUGGAUGGGGCGAAGCAUCGACUUGUCUUUGAAGAAGUGAAUGGUGAUCUUGAGAUGGAAGAUGUAGCCCCAUCAUCUGAAGCGGAAGCUAGCUCUGCAUGCCAACCAGAUCUAACAGCUGCGAGGUGUACACCGACUAGUCAAAAUGUUAAUUCUGUUCCUCCACUACCUGAAGACAAACCUCCAACUCCUCCCCCGUUGCCAUCAUCUCCACCACCUCUACCACGCCCUCAGUGUCCUGUCAUUCAAGGUUCACAGGUUCAAGGAGCAUUGCAUGUGGCACCUGAUCGAGUCGAGCCAGAUACUUUAAGAAAUGUUCAAGAUCAGCACCCUCAUUCUAUUGCAAAUAAUCGAGGCAACAUGGAUCCUUGUGCGGUUCCAUUCCAGCCUCCACCGCCCUAUACUUCUGGGUGUGCAGGGCAUCCAAACCAGAUGCAUCCGCCGCCACCGCCGCCUCCACCACCUGUCGCACCUUUCCAUCCUCCUGGACCCCAUGGAAAUUUUUCUGGGCCCCCAGUACCGCCCCAUGGUAAUAACUAUCACCGUCCACCAGCACCACCACCUCCGAAUAAUGCAUACCAUUUGCAGCCACCACCACCGCAUCCACCAGGUCCGAAUCAGUUCCCAUAUAUGCCACCUGAACACCAACAAAGAGCACAACCUUGGAAUUGUAAUCCUCCCUAUCCUGAGGGAUAUCAGUACAAUGGACAUGACAGAGGACACCCUCCAUACGAUAGGAGACAUCACUUUGAUGAUAGAUGGCACCACUUCGACGAUAGAGGGCAACGCUUUGAUGAUGGAGGGCAUCAUUUCAAUGCCGGAGGUCCUCACUUUGACGAUGGAGCAUAUCGAGGACAAAUGCACCAUGAAUCUAUGGAUAGAGGAAGGUUUCCUCCACAUUUUGGACCAGAUCCCCCGUACCCUGACCAUUUUGAAGCUUCAUCCUCCCACCAUGGGCGACCAUCGGACGGUCCACCUGGUCCAUGCACCGACUGGUCGAUGCCGCCUAGGAGAUCCAAGUAUCCUCCUGGCUCCAGACAUUCAAUGGAGCCUCCAAUGUCCCAUGAAGGAGGUUGGAGGAGGCACGGAAGACACAAUAAUGAUAGAUUCCAUAGAUGA